rnacentral:rRNA from 1 species
UACGUAGGGUGCAAGCGUUGUUCGGAGUUACUGGGCGUAAAGAGUAUGUAGGCGGUUGGGGAAGUUUGGGGUGAAAUCUCCCGGCUUAACUGGGAGGGUGCGCUAAAGACUGCCUGGCUCGAGUGUGGGAGAGGAAAGCGGAAUUCCUGGUGUAGCGGUGAAAUGCGUAGAUAUCAGGAGGAACACCUGCGGUGUAGACGGCUUUCUGGACCAUAACUGACGCUGAGAUCCGAAAGCGUGGGUAGCAAACAGG